CCCCAGGGCCUGCUUCACCCUCCUUUGGUCUUUUCUCAAUUGCUCUCCUCUCGGCAAUCUGCAGACUCUAGACAGGUACAGACUACUGAAGUUUGAUCGUCAGGAUUCUGGACAUUAGGUAUUGAGCAUUGUGUUUGUUCUCAUGGCGCCCAGCAAGAGGAACUAUCCAUCGGGUAGCCACAAAAGGAAAAAAAAGGAGAAAGAGAAUAAACUUAUAAAGUCACAGCGCGGAGGUAUUCGCAAUUUUUUCAUGCCAAGUGAUAUUGGUGCCUGUAUUACUCCGCCGGACCCAGCUGAUGCGUUGGCGAUUGUUGCCAUUGUGGAAGAGCAACAAACAAAUGAAAACUCGGACUCUAAUCAGCAAGAAGAAAAUAUCAACUCCAACAUCGGCGAUGACAAUAUGGCGCAAUGUCUGCUAUGGAGAUUUUCAGGCAUGUCAGAGAAGUUGAUUGUUACCCCAAUAUAUCCAUUGCCUAUCGCAUCUUAUUUACUGUGCCUGUGACGGUCGCAUCGGCCGAGAGAAGCUUUUCAAAGUUGAAAUUAUUGAAGAAUUAUUUGAGGUCAACCAUGACUCAAGAGAGGUUAAAUGGUUUGGCCACAUUAUGC